rnacentral:rRNA from 1 species
AGUGAACGCUGGCGGUAGGCCUAACACAUGCAAGUCGAACGGCAGCACAGUAAUAGCUUGCUCUUACGGGUGGCGAGUGGCGAACGGGUGAGGAAUACAUCGGACUCUACUUUUUCGUGGGGGAUAACGUAGGGAAACUUACGCUAAUACCGCAUACGACCUACAUGUGAAAUCAGAGGAUCUUCGGACCUUGCACGAUUGAAUGACCCGAUGUCGGAUUAGCUAGUUGGCGGGGUAAAGGCCCACCAAGGCGACGAUCCGUAGCUGGUCUGAGAGGAUGAUCAGCCACACUGGAACUGAGACACGGUCCAGACUCCUACGGGAGGCAGAAGUGGGGAAUAUUGGACAAUGGGCGCAAGCCUGAUCCAGCCAUACCGCGUGGGUGAAGAAGGCCUUCGGGUUGUAAAGCCCUUUUGUUGGGAAAGAAAAGCAGCAGGUUAAUACCCCGCUGUUCUGACGGUACCCAAAGAAUAAGCACCGGCUAACUUCGUG